GUUUUCGUAUUUUGGUCACAUCUCAUUCAAUUCAACUUAGAUUUGAGCAUCGUUGGUAGCGUUGGAAACUACACUCAUAGGGAUACAAUUUUUCAGAAGAAAUUGUUUUAAAAUUCUACUCAUAACUAGCUCGAAAUCUGGCAACAAAACGCAGCUCAUAUCCUGGCUUCCAGUGAACCAGUGGAGCAGGAUAGGUGACUUUAAAAGACUGCCACGGUUCACUCAGGUGGAACCAGGAAGUGAAUUUUACACCGUUGGAAAGCUGGAAGAGUCUAGUUUCUAAUGGCACUAACGGCACUCAAUUUCGAUGUCGGAGGGCAGAGUUAUGAUCGAAACAAAAUGGCUGCCUGAGCCAUAUGGGAAAAAUUUCCAGAUUUUGCUGGUUUUUGGAAUUCAUCACCUUUGGUCAACCAAACCUCAAUAUCUUUCAAUGAAACUUUACACACAACUGCAACAACACAUAAACAUCAAAUACAAGCCGUUAAAACC
rnacentral:lncRNA from 1 species